GGGGCGUAGAGGCGGUGGGAGGACUUGCGGCGGGCCGCCUCGGGUUCUUCUCGGGCCUGCUCCGUCGGCGGCUUCCGCGCGUUCCGCCGGCCACCAUGGGGAAGCGAGACAAUCGCGUGGCCUACAUGAAUCCAAUAGCGAUGGCUCGAUCGAGGGGUCCAGUCCAGUCUGCAGGGCCAACAAUCCAGGACUAUCUGAACCGACCGAGACCUACCUGGGAGGAAGUAAAGGAGCAACUGGAAAAGAAA